rnacentral:rRNA from 1 species
GAUGAACGCUGGCGGCGUGCCUAAUACAUGCAAGUCGAGCGAACAGAUGAGGAGCUUGCUCCUCUGACGUUAGCGGCGUACGGGUGAGUAACACGUGGAUAACCUACCUAUAAGACUGGGAUAACUUCGGGAAACCGGAGCUAAUACCGGAUAAUAUAUUGAACCGCAUGGUUCAAUAGUGAAAGACGGUUUUGCUGUCACUUAUAGAUGGAUCCGCGCCGCAUUAGCUAGUUGGUAAGGUAACGGCUUACCAAGGCAACGAUGCGUAGCCGACCUGAGAGGGUGAUCGGCCACACUGGAACUGAGACACGGUCCAGACUCCUAAGGGAGGCAGCAGUAGGGAAUCUUCCGCAAUGGGCGAAAGCCUGACGGAGCAACGCCGCGUGAGUGAUGAAGGUCUUCGGAUCGUAAAACUCUGUUAUUAGGGAAGAACAAAUGUGUAAGUAACUAUGCACGUCUUGACGGUACCUAAUCAGAAAGCCACGGCUAACUACGUG